AAGAUUUCAUAAAGAGAGUUACUAUGGAAGUCAGAUACGAGUACUGCUCCCAUUGCUGAACUAACUCAAGUUUUUCUUUUUUUCUCAACAAGCAUAUUAAAUAACUAGUCCUUUGAUACAACGCUAGAGGCAAAGGUGUAAGGGCAUAUUUAUCCCCAAGAUGUUUUGGUGAUUGAUGACAAUGCUUGUGCGGACUAAUCGUGUGUGUUAAAUUCUUUCAGAGAUUCAUCCUUUGGCACGAGACGAUUAUCUCCCCUCGGUGUUUUAUUCAAGACGGUGUAGCUCCUUCGUUUCGUUGUUGGUGGACUAGUUUCGUAGGAGUCACCGUACUAUCAAGAGGGGAUCCGCUUUGGUAAGGCUAUGGUGGAAUCAACACGUACACAUCCAUUUCACACCCGUCAUUUUCCUUCCGCUUCAUUGGAGCUGCCUUUUCCCCCUGAGUAUGCUUUGUCCUGCCCCAGUGGUAAUACCGCGGUCCACAGCGGUAGUACCGCCGAAGCACCCCAGCGGUAGUACCACUCCCAGAGCGGUAGUACCACUCCCAAGCGGUAGUACCGCUCUCCGAGCGGUAGUACCGCUUGUGGUCUUCGGCCGUAGUACCGCAGUGUUCCGGGCUACUGCCGCCUCGAUUCGAGAAUGAUGUUUUUCGUGUCGGUUUUUGCGGUACUAAGUGCGGUAGUAGUGGCGGUAGUACCGCGCCUACCCCCACGGUAGUACCGCCCUGGGGUCAGGACCCUGUCAGCGCGGCAGUACCGCUGGGUAAGAGCGGUAGUACCGCCCUGAGCGGUAGUACCGCCCUGCCCAAGCGGUAGUACCGCUCUGUGCGGGGCUGCUCAGUGGGAUAACGGUUGGAUUGGUUCCCCCACUAUAUAAAAGUGUCUUCUUCCCCAAAGUUGACCUACCUCUUUCCCCCAAAUCUCCAUUGUUGCUCCAAGCUCCAUUUUCGCCUGAUCUCUCUCCCUAGCCAAUCAAACUUGUUGAUUUGCUCGGGAUUGGUUGAGAAGGCCCAGAUCUACACUUCCACCAAGAGAAAUUUGAUUCCCCCCACUUAUCCCUAGCGGAUCUUGUUACUCUUGGGUGUUGAGCAUCCUAGACGGUUGAGGUCACCUCGAAGCCAUACUCCAUUGUGGUGAAGCUUCAUGGUGUUGUUGGGAGCCUCCAAGUGUUGUGGAGAUAGCCCCAAUCUUGUUUGUAAUGGUUCGGUCGUCGCCUUCAAGGGCACCAAUAGUGGAAUCACGGCAUCUCGCAUUGUGUGAGGGCGUGAGGAGAUUACGGUGGACCUAGUGGCUUCUUGGGGAGCAUUGUGCCUCCACACCGCUCUAACGGAGAUGUACUUCCCUUUAAAAGGAAGGAACUUCGGUAACACAUCCUCAUCUCCACCGGCUAUACUCUUGGUUAUCUUGUGCCUCUACUUUUGCAAGCUUACUUGUGUUGUAUCUAUUACUUGCUAGUGUGCUAGUUGUCUUUGCAUCAUAUAGGUUGUCCACGUAGUUGCACAUCUAGACAACCUAUUUUGUUGCAAGGUUUAAAUUGUUAAAGAAAAGCCUAAAAAUUGUUAGUUGCCUAUUCACCCCCCCUCUAGUCAACCAUAUCGAUCCUUUCAAUUGGUAUCAGAGCCUCGUCUCUUUAUUAAGGACUUUGUCAUCCGAAGAGUAUGGUUGACACAAACAACGGUGCGGAGGAGCACUCCGGUGUGAAUCCCAUCUCGUCUUCGACCGAAGGGGGAACCUCGGUCUCUCGUGAGGAAUUCAAUGUGGCUUUAGACACAUUAAAAACCUCCAUGACGGCCGAGGUUAAAAGCAUGUUUUCUGAAUUCCUAGACGGACUUAAACUAUCUACCUCGCCGAUGAAAGUGGGUGAUCCCACUAACAGGUGACGGAUGCUACCUCCGACAAGGGGGAAGCUAACAGUGAAAAGAGUCCUUCUACUAGUGGUAGAAAUGGCACCGGCAUCUUUGCCCAUGUGGAACCCCCAGUGUAUAGAGGACUGAUCCCCUCUACUCAUUUGAAUCAUGCCGGUCCUCCUCCUAAAUAUGUGAAAAAUGAAGAUUUUCAUUCUUGGGUUUAUCGCUUCAAGCGUCAUUUAAAACAUGUGAAUACUAACCUUUGGAGAAUCAUUGAAGAAGGUUUCUAUUCUCAUGACCCAAGCAACUUCACCCCUCGAGAAGAAGUGGACAAUCAAUUCAAUGAGAGUGCUCUCUUCAUCAUCCAAGAUGCAAUCCUUCCCGAAGAUCUCCCUCAUCUUCGACCUCAUGUCAUGGCUAAAGAAGCAUGGAAAUGUGUUGAGUCUCUCUAUCAAGGAAGUGCUAGCAUUCAACGCUCCAACUAUGAAGUGGUGUAAGAUGAAGCUGAUGAGUUUGCAAUGAAAGAGGAUGAAGAACCUCGUGAGCUCUUUCGAAGAGUGACCAAACUCGUGGUCGCACUCCGAGAUCAUGGGAGCAAGGACACGGAUGACAAUUGGAUCAAGCGCAAGUUCCUCAAGGCCAUGAUGCCCUACAACAAGGCCAUGUCCUCCGUCAUUCGUCAAAGACCGGACUUCCACUCCAUGACCUCAGGUGAAGUGUUGGAUGACUUUGUUGCAAUGAGCAUCUUGGACAAGACCGCCGACAAUGCGGUGCUCCGUUCUCAAAGGGCAAAGAAGCCCAAUCUUGCCUUGAAGGCCAAUGUUAGUGUGGAAGAAGAAGAAGAAGAGGAAGAUGAGGAGAGCAACCCCGAAGACACGAAGUAUGAUUAUCAUGAGCACAUGGCUCUUGCCUCAAGACAAUUUUGGAGUAAGAAGAAUACAAGACCCAACUUCAACAAGAACAACUCAAGUGGCCUCAAGGGCAAGCAACGAGUUAGAACUUGUUUCAACUGUGGCAAUGUGAGCCAUUUCGUUGCGGAUUGUCCUUACGAGAAGCGGGAAGACAAUGGUGGCAAGUUCAUCCAAAAAGACAAAGCCAAGUCCUUCCCCAACAAGAACAACUUCACCAAGAAGACUCCUACUCGCGGGUUGGUGGUUCAAGAAGAAUACCGUGAGGAUGACGACGAUGAUGAAGAUAGUGAAACAAUGGCCAUGGCAUCCGUUGCCAUUGUCACAACUCCCCGGGUGUCUCUCUUCGAUUCACCUAAUGAGAACAUCACCGCCAAGUGCCUCAUGGCUAAGGCCACCAACAAGGUAACCCCCAACAUCAAAACCACCAUUAUUCCUAACCCUCCUUCAACGGAUGACUUUGAUAAUGGUAAGGGGUCUAAUGAGGAGGUUAAUGAAUUUGAGUCCUUCAUGAGUAAGCUCAAGGGCAAAUCCAAAAAGCACUCCGUUGCUCUCUUGGAACAACUUGGUGAAGCCAAUGACAUGAUAGAGGCUCACGAAGAAACCAUCUCUAAGAUGGAAGGUCAUAGUCGUGAUUAUGCCGAUGAGAUAUCGGAUCUAUCUAAUGAUCUUGAGAAAGAGCGUGGGCAUCGUUUGGCUCUUGAGGAGUCACACAACGAUGACCAUGCCAAAUUAAAGAAAGAUCUUGAUCAUGCUCUUGUUGUGUCUCGUGUUCUAACUUCCGAGAAGGCUAAACUUGGGGUUGAUCAUGCUAGACUCAAGGAGGAGUUUGAUGUACUUGACAAGGCCCAUAAGGUAUUAAAAGGUGCUCAUGCAAACCUCAAGGAGUCUCAUGCUCAACUUCAAGCUAAGCUUACCAAGGAAAAGGCCACAUUUCCUCACAUGGUCUUAAUUGAUAAUGCAAAUGCUACUAACCCAUGUUGUGAGCAUGUGCAUCUUGUGGAGGAGAAUUCCAAGUUGAAGGAACAACUCGAGAAAGGUCUUGUGUCAUGCAUACAAGGCGAGAAGAACCUAAAUGACCUUUUGAGCAAUCAAAAGGAAGUUGUGGGCAAGGAGGGAAUUGGGUUCACGCCCAAGUCCAAGAACAAGAAGAAGAACAAGGAGAAGAAUAACAAGACCAAUCGACCUCCCCCGCUCAAGCAAACCUUUGUGAAGGAGGGAGAGGGUGAUCCUAAGGAGAAGAAUAACAAUGCGAAGAGUGGUGAUGCCAAAGAGCGCAAAGCCAUCUCUCCCAACAAAGCCGGCGACUUUAACCCCUCUUAUGUGUUCUGCCGUGCUAGUGAUGGGCAUGUUUAAGCUAAAUUUGUUGGUUCUUCUUAUGAGUACAUAGAAUGGUCUAUUUGGGUUCCUAAGACCCUUGUUACUAACAUCAAAGGACCCAUUACUCAAUGGGUACCUAAAACCAAGCAUUGAUCUCUUGUAGGUGUUUGCUUCCGGUGGGGGAUCAUGGUUGCUCGAUAGUGGAGCAACAAAUCAUAUGACCGGGAGCAAGGACUUGGUGGUGGACGUGCACAAGAUCCCAUCUAUGCCCACCAAUGUCGAAUGGGGUGAUGCCUCACAUUCUAAGGUAUUGGGUCUUGGCAAGGUUGUCAUUUCUCAUGAUCUAACGAUCGAGAAAGUCAUGCUUGUUGAGUCCCUUGUGUUCAACUUACUUUCCGUUCGUCAACUCGCACUCAUGGGCUUUGCCACCUUCUUUGAUAUUGAUACCGUGGCCCUCUUGUGGAGCAAGACUCUUAAAGUAGCCUUUGUUGGGCAUGUCGAGAAUGGUCUCUAUGUGAUUAACUUUUCGGAGCAACCCACUAAGACCGCGACAUGCCUAAUGGCUAAAGUUGAUGUGGGAUGGCUUUGGCAUCGCCGUUUAGCCCAUGUCAAUAUGAGAUCUUUGCAAAGUCUUCUCAAGGGGGACCAUGUUCAUGGACUAACGAAUUUUAGUUUUGCCAAAGAUCGUGUUUGCAGUGCUUGUAUCGAAGGAAAGCUUCAUGAGACGACUCACCCUCCCACGACUAUCAUCUAAUCGAAGAGACCCUUGGAGCUCCUGCACAUGGACCUCUCUGGGCCUCCAUCCUUUGAUAGUCUUGGGGGUAGAAAGUACUGCUUGGUGAUUGUGGAUGAUUAUUCAAGAUACACUCGGGUAUACUUCUUCAAGAGGAAGAGUGAGACUCAACAAACCGUCAUCGACUUUGCAAAUGAAGCUCAACGCCAACAUAAUGCAAAGAUCUUGACAAUAAGAAGUGACAACGACACCGAAUUCAAGAACUACACCUUGGAUGAGUUUCUCAGUGAUGAGGGGAUCAAGCACCAAUAUUCUGCACCAUACACCCCUCAAUAAAAUGGUGUUGCGGAGAGGAAGAACCGGACGUUGAUGGAUGCGUCAAGGACCAUGAUGGCGGAGUUCAAGUCUCCAUACAACUUUUGGGCCGAAGCCAUCAACACUGCAUGUCAUGCAUCCAAUCGGCUCUAUCUCCGCAAAGGCUUGAACAAGACUCCAUAUGAGAUACUCACCGGGAACAAGCCCAAUCUCAAGUACUUCCGGGUGUUCGGGUGUAAGUGUUUCAUUCUCAAGAAAGGUGUUCGUUUGUCUAAAUUCGAGGCUAGAGCUCAUGAGGGCAUUUUUGUUGGUUAUGCUACAAACUCUCAUGCUUACCGUGUUCUCAACAAGUCCAACGGACUCAUUGAGGAGACGUGUAAUGUGGAGUUUGACAAAAAUAACGGCUCCCAAGUGGAGCAAAGUGGUACUUGUGAUGUAGGUGAUGAAAUUCCUCCCCAAGCCAUAAGAAGAAUGGGUAUUGGUCAUAUUCUACCCGUUGAGGAACCCCUUGUGGCCGAAGGAGAAGGACAAUGCUCCACUCCAGUGGAGCCUUCAUCUACUCAAGACCCACACGCUUCCGAAGAACAAAGUGUAGGCCCUCAACCUCGGGAACAAGACCAAGGGCAAGAUCAAUCUCAAGAUGGUGGUGAACCUCUACAUGAUGCCCAAGGUCAAGUUCUCCCCUCCGAGCAAGUUCAAGAUCAUGAGCAAGCUCAAGAUCAAGAACAAGCUCAUGACGACGCUCAAUAUGAUCAAGUGAACCCUCCUCCUUCCUCAUCCGAGGAGGAAUUAGAGCGUCGUGCCGCGAAGAUUGCCUCCAAACUCACCACCAAAGGUCAUCUCAUGGAGAAUGUGGUUGGAAGCCUAAGAAAGGGGGUAAGCACUCGUAGACAAUUAGCAAACUAUUGUGAACAUCACACGUUUGUCUCUUGUGUUGAACCCCAUAAGGUCUAUGAGGCGCUCGAAGACUCGGAUUGGCUCAAUGCCAUGCAUGAAGAACUCAACAACUUCGAGUACAACAAGGUGUGGAGAUUGGUGGCAAGGCCUUUGGGAAACCAUAACAUCAUUGGAACCAAGUGGAUCUUCAAGAACAAGCAAGAUUCUCAUGGGAACAUCAUUCGCAACAAGGCAAGAUUGGUAGCACAAGGCUACUCCCAAGUCGAGGGUAUCGACUACGGUGAAACCUUUGCUCCCGUCGCUCACCUUGAAUCCAUUCGUUUGUUGAUUGCUUAUGCUUCCCAUCACAACUUUAAGUUGCAACAAAUGGAUGUGAAAAGUGCUUUUCUUAAUGGUCCCAUUAAUGAGUUGGUUUAUGUCAAGCAACCCCCCGGGUUCGAGGAUCCUUACUUCCCGGAUCAUGUGUAUCAACUCGAUAAGGCACUCUAUGGCCUUAAACAAGCCCCACGUGCGUGGUAUGACCACCUUACCGAGUUGUUACAAGAUCGUGGAUUUGAAGUUGGGCUAAUCGAUCCCACUCUUUUUACUAAGAAGGUCAAAGGGGAGUUGUUUGUGUGCCAACUAUAUGUUGAUGACAUUAUCUUUGGUUCUCCUAACAAAGCUUUCAAUGAAGAAUUUGCCGCUCUCAUGACCUCUAAGUUCAAGAUGUCUUUGAUGGGAGAGUUGAAGUUCUUCCUUGGUUUUGACAUCAAACAAAGAAGAGAAGGAACCUUCAUCAACCAAGCCAAGUACACUCAAGACAUGCUAAAAAUAUUCAAGCUAAGUGAUGUCAAGCCGGCUUCUACUCCAAUGCCCACCAAGUGCCAACUUGACAUUGAUCCCAAUGGUAAAGCGGUGGAUCAAAAGGUAUAUCGCUCCAUGAUUGGUUCCUUGCUUUACCUUUGUGCAUCUAGACCAGAUAUCAUGUUGAGUGUGGGGAUGUGUGCACGGUUUCAAGCCGCACCGAAGGAAAGUCACUAUGUGGCGGUCAAGCGAAUCUUUCGAUAUUUGGCUCAUACCCCAAACUUUGGCUUAUGGUACCCAAGAGGGGCAAACUUCAAGCUUGAAGGAUUUACGGAUUCAGAUUGGGCGGGAGACAAAGUGGAUAGGAAGUCCACUUCCGAAGGGUGCCAGUUUCUUGGGUGCUCUUUGGUGAGUUGGUCUUCCAAAAAGCAAAGUUGUGUAUCUCUCUCGUCCAUCGAAGCGGAAUAUGUGGCGGCCGGUAGUUGUUGUGCACAACUUUUAUGGAUGAGGCAAACUUUAAAGGAAUAUUGUGUCAUUUGUGACAAAGUGCCUCUUUGGUGUGACAACGAAAGUGCCAUCAAGAUUUCUCUCAACCCGGUGCAACACUUCAAGAUGAAGCAUAUUGAGAUUCGGUAUCAUUUCAUCCAGGAUCACAUUAGGCGAGGGGAGAUCGAGCUCAAGUAUGUCAACACUCAUGAUAACCUUGUAGAUAUUUUCACGAAGCCCUUGGAUGAAGCAAGAUUUCGCGAGUUAAGGCAUGAGCUAAAUAUCAUUGAUUCGAGAAAUGUGACUUGAAACCUUGCACACCCCACCCCACUCAACUUGGUGUCUAGCUUAGAUGUAGGCAUGGACAUAGGGGGAGUGUUGUUCUCUCAAUGAACUCUCCCUCCCCCCAUUAUGCAUAAAAUGAUCAACUCUUUCACAUUAGCCAUUUUUGAUGGUACUUGUGCUUCAAAGACGAGUUUUGGUCAUGGGCCCAAGGAUAAUUCUUCGCGGUGCCAUACCAGUUGACUCAAACAUAGGUGGCUCCGGCCACCGCCCUCUCUUGAGAGAGGCUAGAGCUCGCUCUGCUUCAUGUGGUUGUUUUGUUAGAGUGGUUUCUGGUCCGUUGUUAGUGUGUGUGUUGCCUCGUUGGUCUUUUCUUUCUCUUGGCUUUGCUUUCCCGUCUUUUUGGAGCUGUAGCCGUUUGUCUAGAAGCUGUGCGGUUGCUGAGCGGUACUACCGCUGGUGGCGAGCGGUACUACCGCUCCCAGCGCGGUACUACCACUGUGAGGCGCGGGCAGGGGGUUAUAUUGGGGGCAGGGGGGAUUUCUUCUUCCCCAUACCCAUUCGCUCGCCCCCUCACUCUGUUCCUCUCUCUUCAGCAACCGGCGCCGCGAGAGGGCUCCGGCGGAUCUUCCUCUCUGGGGCGCUCCUCUCCAUUUCCUUCGGUGGAGUCGAUCCCCACCUUAUCCUCUUGCCAUGGAUGUCGGUAUUGCCCCCGCUUCCUGUUUCUUUUUGUCUAGAUUUCCAAUCUAGCAUCUUAGGGGCAAUAGCAGUUGCAUCUCUAGAUUUUUGGCCAGAUCUAGGCUUGACUAGGAUGGAGAAUGCUUCUAGACAGUUUGGAUUGGUGUUUGGUUGGAGUAUUUUUGAAUUUGGUAGGACGGUAGUGCCGGAUCUGACCACGGCAGUGGGAAACUGCUGUUUUCCCGUCUCGAGCGGUACUACCGCUCUCUCUAGAGCGGUACUACCGCUCCCGGGUCUCGGUACUACCGCCCUCUACCAAUUUCCAUCAUACUCCUACCUAUCAGUGAUCCUUUUGCUCGUGUUUUGUGGCUUAUGCUCGUUCUUGCUGGUUGUUUGCGUGUUCUUGUGUGUGGUUCCAGGUGAUGAGGUUCCUUAGCAUUAGGCUUGUCGUGUCAACCCCGGUCGUGCCACGUCCAAGCGCUACCGCACCGCCGAGCCUGCCGGAGGUUCUUCAAGUGCUCCACCUCCACCUCAACUCCAGAAGAAGCAUGGGGUCAAGCCAAAGCCAGGCAAAACCAUGCCAGAAAUGCCGCCCAAGGAGUUCUGGGCAAGGCGUCGCCGCAACCCGUAUGAGGAAGACCAAGAUCCCACUUUGGUCAAUCGUCCGUUCUGGAACAGGUUCCAGUUUUCCAUCUUCUUUGAUGUUCUCAAAGCCAAGAAGAACCUCUAUGUCAACGUGCACUCCAUCGACACCGACCAUAUGGAGAAAGAUCCUGAAUACUUUGGUGAAGCUCUUCAGAUGUGCACUCAACUGAACAUUCUUAGGAUCAUGCAAUUCAACAAGGAUUAUGAUGCUGAUAUUGUGGCCCAAUUCUAUGCCACGGUUCACCUUGGAACUGAUGAGGAUACGACACUGACUUGGAUGACCAAUGGAAAGUUGCUUUCAGUCAAGUGGAAAGCUUUCAUGGAGUUGAUUGGGGUGAAAGAUCUAGGUCUUGAGUCUUCUGUCGGCUUUCGCCCCCACCACCGCACCAACGCCACUCACAAGCAAGCUCUAUGGCCCUACUGCACUUUGAGGAUCAACCCUGAGACGCAGAAGGAAACCUAUGAGCUGCCUGCCUAUCUGGAUAUCCUUCACCAUAUCUUCAGAGAGACUCUUUUCCCUCGUAUCGGGAAUCUGGACCAGGUUCACUCCUAUCUUGUGGACAUGCUUCUCUUCUGCCAGCGUGAGAAGGGAUAGAACACCCAAGAGUCCCUGGAUAUCUCUCAUGUUAUGUGGUCGGAGCUGUUAUCUGCUAUCUCCGAGCGAAAGUGCCCAAUUUAUGGUCCGUUCAUCAUGCUUCUCAUUGAGAAGGCCUGGGAUCGUGUCUAUCCCCAGGUGUUACUGGAGACUGGAGAGUUGGUCUCUCACGAUGUCAAGCGUCUGAGGAAGAAGGAUAACUGGGGCACUCAGACCCCUAGGACUGGAGUUCCUUCGUCUGCUACUGCCAUGGAGACCGAGGAGGAGACUGGGGCUGAGGCUGAGGAUGAUGAUGAUGACUACGUGCCUUCUGAGGCAGAGCCCUCUUGGGCAAAGAAGCUCAAGCACAAGAUGAAGAAGUUGUUCUGCAUGGAGUCUCAUGGUCAGUACAUGACUCAUGUGGCUGAGAAGAAGGCCCGAGGUGGCCACAAGGAGCUCAUGCGUCAGUUGGGUACUACAGUUAUCAGUGGAUCUGAGGACCAGCUUACCGAGGAGGAGGAGUGGAUUCAGCAGCACUGCCCGUGGACCGAUUCUGAUGCCGAGCACUUCCAGACUGACGAUGGUGGCGCAGAUGAUCCCGCUGAGCUCUGAUGUGUGUGUCCUUCCUUUGCUAUCACCUGGAGCCGUAGCAACACUCCCUCUCCUUUUUGGUGUCUCGAUGCCAAAGUGGGAGAGAGUUUAGGGAUUUGUGCUUUGUGUCUUCCAUCUUCUGUGUUUGUGUUUUCCUCGCUAUUUGCUUUGUUUGGUUUGUGUCAGUGAGACCUAAGUACCAGCCAUAUGGUGUGAGACAUAUGCUACCUUAUCUUUCCAGUAUCAUUAUCUAUGUCACCAUCUAGCGUAUGAGUUGCAUGCUUAUCCUGUUAAGUUAUCUUUGCUACUCUCAUUUACCCCGCUUAGGUGGUUGGUCUCUAAAAUGUAGGGGGAGCGUUGAUCCUAGUAUGUGUGCCGUGCAGUCCAAAGCACUUAUCUAGAUAGCACACAUCUAGGGGGAGCUCAUCUACAUUUUAGGACGUUGGGGUUUUUGCGCUUGUUCUAUAUCUCUCAUAUUGUGCAAAUCCCGUAUUGUCAUCAAUCCACCAAAAAGGGGGAGAUUGUAAGGGCAUAUUUAUCCCCAAGAUGUUUUGGUGAUUGAUGACAAUGCUUGUGCGGACUAAUCGUGUGUGUUAAGUUCUUUCAGAGAUUCAUCCUUUGGCACGAGACAAUUAUCUCCCCUCGGUGUUUUAUUCAAGACGGUGUAGCUCCUUCGUUUCGUUGUUGGUGGACUAGUUUCGUAGUUGUCACCGUACUAUCAAGAGGGGAUCCGCUUUGGUAAGGCUAGGGUGGAAUCAACACGUACACAUCCAUUUCACAACCGUCGUUUUCCUUCCGCUUCAUUGGAGCUGCCUUUUUCCCCUGAGUAUGCUUUGUCCUGCCCCAGCGGUAGUACCGCGGUCCACAGCGGUAGUACCGCCGAAGCACCCCAGCGGUAGUACCGCUCCCAGAGCGGUAGUACCGCUCCCAGAGCGGUAGUACCGCUUACCGCGGUCCACAGCGGUAGUACCGCCGAAGCACCCCAGCGGUAGUACCGCUCCCAGAGCGGUAGUACCGCUUGUGGUCUUCGGCCGUAGUACCGCAGUGGUUCCGGGCUACUGCCGCCUCGAUUCGAGAAUGAUGUUUUUCGUGUCGGGUUUUGCGGUACUAAGUGCGGAAGUAGUGGCGGUAGUACCGCUCCAAGCGGUAGUACCGUGCCUACCCCCACGGUAGUACCGCCCUGGGGUCAGGACCCUGUCAGCGCGGCAGUACCGCUGGGUAAGAGCGGUAGCACCGCCCUGCCCAAGCGGUAGUACCGAUCUGUGUGGGGCUGCUCAAUGGGAUAACAGUUGGAUUGGUUCCCCCGCUAUAUAAAGGUGUCUUCUUCCCCAAAGUUAACCUACCUCUUUCCCCCAAAGCUCCAUUGUUGUUCCAAGCUCCAUUUUCGCCUGAUCUCUCUCCCUAGCCAAUCAAACUUGUUGAUUUGCUCGGGAUUGGUUGAGAAGGCCUAGAUCUACACUUCCACCAAGAGAAAUUUGAUUCCCCCCACUUAUCCCUAGCUGAUCUUGUUACUCUUGGGUGUUGAGCACCCUAGACGGUUGAGGUCACCUCGAAGCCAUACUCCAUUGUGGUGAAGCUUCAUGGUGUUGUUGGGAGCCUCCAAGUGUUGUGGAGAUAGCCCCAAUCUUGUUUGUAAAGGUUCGGUCGCCGCCUUCAAGGGCACCAAUAGUGGAAUCACGGCAUCUCGCAUUGUGUGAGGGCGUGAGGAGAUUACGGUGGCCCUAGUGGCUUCUUGGGGAGCAUUGUGUCUCCACACCGCUUUAACGGAGACGUACUUCCCUUUAAAAGGAAGGAACUUCGGUAACACAUCCUCGUCUCCAUCGGCUCCACUCUUGGUUAUCUUGUGCCUCUACUUUUGCAAGCUUACUUGUGUUGUAUCUAUUACUUGCUAGUGUGCUAGUUGUCUUUGCAUCAUAUAGGUUGUCCACGUAGUUGCACAUCUACACAACCUAUUUCAUUGCAAGGUUUAAAUUGUUAAAGAAAAGUCUAAAAAUUGUUAGUUGCCUAUUCACCCCCCCCCCCUCUAGUCAACCAUAUCGAUCCUUUCAAAAGGUAUUAAAAAAUUGAAAGGGGAGUACAAGCCAGAAUUGGUAAAGUAAGCCCCACAUAAAUUCACGAAUCACUAUCACAAACAUAAGGAUCCAUGCUGAAUAAGGUAUACCAAUCAUAAAGAUCACAAUAUUCUCAUGUCACACCGAAUAAUAUGUCCUCUCAUCUUCAGAGUCAAGAGCAUGGUCAUUGUCGGGGCUCUCAUAAUAUUACUAGUCGCGGCACUCGUCAUCCCACUUGAGCGUCGUGAUCUUGAUCCUGGUGAAUUCCUCCCACAAGGCAUGCUCAUCAUUGGAGCCAAUCAAGAAACAAUACUACAAGCCAAGAACUUCCAGGACAGGGCAGCUCUCAAGGACAGCGGUCAAUUUUCUCACAGUGAGGUCAAUGUUUUCAAGUUCAAGGGAAUGCAGCUCUAGCAGAGGUGACUCUUUUAUAACAUUGGCGAGUUGUUUGCUGAAGACCCCGAAGCAUGAUACAAGCCGAAGGGUAGUUAGUGAGGGUGACCUACAAACACUAGGGCAAUAUUUUCAUAUGACUUAAUGUGGGGAUGAUGGUGUGAAGUGGA
rnacentral:lncRNA from 1 species